AGAGGUGGCCUGGUAAAUCCACAGCCACUCUCAGAAGCUCGAGUCUGCUGUCUGCCCUGAAGCAAGUUGCUCCUUCUCCAUAACCAGUGGGCCUGCCGCCCAGAGUCCUCACGUGAGUUGUUUCUCCAGUGCCGACUGUGAAUGUGCACCCAUGGUGUUUGGAGCGAGGUGCAAGCCUGCCUCUGACCCCAGCUAAACCCCAGAACUGGGAAGUGUGUCCCCUCUUGCAAGGGAGGACGAAAAGGUCUCCAGCCUCCUCCCCCGAUGUCAGAGCUUGGGCAUCGCUUGUGUUUGCUAGUGACGGGCCCAGAGGGAGAGUGGGUUUUGACUCUUCCGGAAGGGGCAGGCUACAUGGGCAGAAUUGGGAAGGGGGCGCAGUCUCCUGCUCGAGCUCCCUCCACCUGCCUUCUUGCAUGUUGCCCCUUGCACUCUCCCAGGGUGUUAAGCUUUUGUUCUUGGAAGCAGUUGGAAAGCUGUUAUCCUGGAAGACAGUAAAAAGCCUACAGCCUCAUCAAAAUAACUUUGGUAAAGUUUUUAUUUUACCAGACCCUGUUUUCUCCUUGUCAGAUUUGUGAGGUUUCCUGCUCAGUUGCAGUGGACAGUGGUUUCUGUCUUUUGGGGGUCACCUACCCUGUCCUGCUAAGGGGAAGCAGAGCACUGCUGGGUCUGCUCAGGCGUGCAGGAGGGCUGCCCUGGUCUGAGCCCCUGAGCAGGCUCCGACCAGAAUGGCAGGUGCAGUCUCUCUGUGGUUCUCAUGACCUGCAGGAGCCCUGUCUGGGGAGGCCCUUGCAGGAGGAGCCAGGCAGGUUGAGGAGAGAGCAGGCGAAGAGGACGUUUGAAGGUAGAAAUGAUGAAGAUAGGAAGGCGGUGCAAACAAGCAGGUCUGACCAUGGAGACAAAACUUCCACAGGGUGGGGCUGGCGGUGGGGCGUGAUUUCCUCAGAGCCAGUGAGGAGGGGUCAUCUUAGGAUUACAGGUCUGUCUUGGCAACAAGAGAAAAAGAGAUGGUACAUGUAACGGGGAGCCAGUUCCAGCACUAGGUUUCUAUUCGGUCUAAAGUUGGAGGUGAGGUCUGAUUCAUUGGAAGGACUGAUGCUGAAGCUGAAACUCCAAUACUUUGGCCACCUGAGGCGAAGAGCUGACUCAUUUGAAAAGACCUUGAUGCUGGGAAAGAUUCAAGGCAGGAGGAGAAGGGGACAAGAGAGAAUGAGAUGGUUGGAUGGCAUCAGUGACUCUAUGGACAUGAGUUUGAGCAAGCUCCAGCACUUGGUGAUGGACAGGGAAGCCCGGCGUGCUGUAGUCCAUGGGGUCACAAAGAGUUGGAGACAACUGAGCUACUGAACUGAACUGAGGAGGUGAGGUCGGACCUCCUGGUAACUCAGCUGGUAAAGAAUUUGCCUGCAGUGCAGAAGACCUGGGUUGGGAAGAUCACCCUGGAGGAGGACAUAGCUACCCACUCCAGUAUUCCUGCUUGGAGAAUCCCCAUGGACAGAGGAUCCUGGCAGGAAUACUGGAGUGGGUUGCCAAUUCCUUCUCCAGGGGAAUCUUCUCGACCAAGAGAUGGAACCCGCAGCUCUUGCC
ensembl:lncRNA